GUACUGUUGUUUGUGGUCUCGGAUUACAGCCCCGUGGGCCCGGCUAUGCGCUGGCCUAAUAGGUAGUAGGCUGCUCCCGGGUUCUCAUCGCUGCGCCCGAACCCGAAACGCUCAGUUGACCCGGAUAGGCUUAAAAACUUUUUUUUUCUCCUUUAUAAUGAAAACAACAUGCAAUAAGUUUUUAAAAAAAAAAUCAAAAAAAGGUGAUGGUGGUGAAGGUGUAGUCAAGCUCCCAGAUCUCUUCGACCUUGCCAUAAUACGCUUCAGUCUGGCCUUCGCUGUCGGUCCCCGUCUCAGCAACGAGCACUAUACCGUUGUUUUGGUACGUACUCUUACGGUCUUGAGCCUUGGUGUAGUACGUAUACUCAUUCAUUGCUUACGACUGGUAUGUCAUGACGUUGCGGUCGGGAAGCCGUGACAACUUCUGUACAAUCUUCUCAUCUUCAUUCGCCGCAGCCCUCGGAUACCAAA
rnacentral:lncRNA from 1 species